rnacentral:rRNA from 1 species
GACGAACGCUGGCGGCGUGCCUAACACAUGCAAGUCGAGCGGGAAUCCAUCAAAUGACGCUUCGGUUGAUUUUGAUGGAGGAUAGCGGCGGACGGGUGAGUAACGCGUGAGUAACCUGCCCUUAAGAGGGGGAUAACACACCGAAAGGUGUGCUAAUACCGCAUAAAGUAUCUUUACUGCAUGGUAGAGAUACCAAAGAUUUAUCGCUUAAGGAUGGACUCGCGUCUGAUUAGAUAGUUGGUGAGGUAACGGCUCGCCAAGUCGACGAUCAGUAGCCGAACUGAGAGGUUGAUCGGCCACAUUGGGACUGAGACACGGCCCAG